rnacentral:lncRNA from 1 species
CAAAACUUUGCAUCACUGGGGAAAAAAAUCCAGGACCUCCCUUUGCCCGGAAGGCCGUCGGAGCAAGGGCUAUACUUAAGGUGAAAGGUCCAGAUAAAAUUCUGGAGAGACACUGAGCAUCCAGAAGGGUCCCAAGGACAUCAAUCUUUCCACCCAUGGGCAGUGCUCAAGUGCCCUCUUUUCUGAAGUGUUUUUAUUUUUUCCUUUUGGAGAGCAGCUCAUCCUGCCUGUCAGUAGAGCAAGACUGACCUUGUGGCCCUCACCACCCCUGACUCCCCGACUCCCAACAGGCUAUGUCCUUCAUUUAGCAGAACUCUAAACACUACCUUCUCCCUUCUAAUGAGAAGGAGGCUCGGCUCUGACAGACCUGGAGCACCUGGGUAAGUGCCAUUCACAGAAGGGGAAGACCCUCAAUAGCUC